rnacentral:rRNA from 1 species
AUUGAACGCUGGCGGCAGGCCUAACACAUGCAAGUCGAACGAGUGGCGGACGGGUGAGUAAUGUCUGGGAAACUGCCCGAUGGAGGGGGAUAACUACUGGAAACGGUAGCUAAUACCGCAUACCAUCGGAUGUGCCCCGUUGGGAUUAGCUAGUGGGGGGGGUACCGGCUCACCUAGGCGACUAUCCCUAGCUGGUCUUAGAGGAUGACCAGCAACGUUGGAACUGAGACACGGUCCAGACUCCUACGGGAGGCAGCAGUGGGGAAUAUUGCACAAUGGGCGCAAGCCUGAUGCAGCCAUGCCGCGUGUAUGAAGAAGGCCGUCGGGUUGGAAAGUACUUUCAGCGAGGAGGCGUUACUCGCAGAAGAAGCACCGGCUAACUCCGUGCCAGCAGCCGCGGUAAUUC